CGCAUCUUUUGUCUUCUUACACAUUAUAAAGUAUUUCUUACCAAAAUAGAAGAUUGAUCCUGUAACACUUGGACCUCAUUUUCCAGUUACCCUGCAAUGGAUCUUGUUGUAGCUUAUCUGCAUGAUCGAGCUUUACGACGUGAACGAAGGUAUCGGGACCCUUUGGAUCCCA